GACGAACGCUGGCGGCGUGCUUAACACAUGCGAGUCGAACGGAAAGGCCCCUUUGGGGGUCCUCGAGUGGCGAACGGGUGAGUAACACGUGAGUAACCUGCCCUUGACUUCGGGAUAACUUCAGGAAACUGGGGCUAAUACCGGAUAGGAAUCCUUGCUGCAUGGUGGGGGUUGGAAAGCUUCGGCGGUUUUGGAUGGACUCGCGGCUUAUCAGCUUGUUGGUGGGGUAGUGGCUUACCAAGGCUUUGACGGGUAGCCGGCCUGAGAGGGCGACCGGCCACAGUGGGACUGAGAUACGGCCCAGACUCCUACGGGAGGCAGCAGUGGGGAAUAUUGCACAAUGGGCGGAAGCCUGAUGCAGCAACGCCGCGUGCGGGAUGACGGCCUUCGGGUUGUAAACCGCUUUCAGCAGGGGCGAAGCUUGUGGUGACGGUACCUGCAGAAGAAGCACCGGCUAACUACGUG
rnacentral:rRNA from 1 species